UAGGUAGGGUGCAAGCGUUAAUCGGAAUUACUGGGCGUAAAGCGUGCGAAGGCGGUUUUGUAAGUCUGACGUGAAAUCCCCGGGCUCAACCUGGGAAUUGCGUUGGAGACUGCAAGGCUAGAAUCUGGCAGAGGGGGGUAGAAUUUCACGUGUAGCAGUGAAAUGCGUAGAGAUGUGGAGGAACACCGAUGGCGAAGGCAGCCCCCUGGGUCAAGAUUGACGCUCAUGCACGAAAGCGUGGGGAGCAAACAGG
rnacentral:rRNA from 1 species